GGGGAAACGGGUGGUAAUGCCGGAUGCUCCGACAUGACGCAUGUCGUGUCGGGAAAGAUUCAUCGGUAUGGGAUGGGGUCGCGUCCUAUCAGCUUGAUGGCGGGGUAACGGCCCACCAUGGCUUCGACGGGUAGCCGGCCUGAGAGGGCGACCGGCCACAUUGGGACUGAGAUACGGCCCAGACUCCUACGGGAGGCAGCAGUGGGGAAUAUUGCACAAUGGGCGCAAGCCUGAUGCAGCGACGCCGCGUGCGGGAUGACGGCCUUCGGGUUGUAAACCGCUUUUGACUGGGAGCAAGCCCUUCGGGGUGAGUGUACCUUUCGAAUAAGCACCGGCUAACUACGUGCCAGCAGCCGCGGUAAUACGUAGGGUGCAAGCGUUAUCCGGAAUUAUUGGGCGUAAAGGGCUCGUAGGCGGUUCGUCGCGUCCGGUGUGAAAGUCCAUCGCUUAACGGUGGAUCCGCGCCGGGUACGGGCGGGCUUGAGUGCGGUAGGGGAGACUGGAAUUCCCGGUGUAACGGUGGAAUGUGUAGAUAUC
rnacentral:rRNA from 1 species